rnacentral:sRNA from 1 species
UAACGUCUUAACGAGUGCGUUGCUA